rnacentral:lncRNA from 1 species
CACUCCACCUCCAGCAGGAUUUGUGCAUGUGCACAGACAUGAAUACCUGCACAUGCCCAUCUCUACAAGUGGCUCUGCAUGACUUCGAGCAUGUGCAUGGUACCGCAGUGUCUCUCUGCAUUAUGUCUCUCCUGGCUUUCCUGGUCUUCCUUCACAAAUACAAUCUUGGUCCAUCCUGUAUGGCCAUGUCUUCUACACUUGAACGACAGAGCACAGAACCUGAACACGAAGGCUUCAUGUUUUAUUAAUGUGUCCAAUUCAUUUCCUGUUUUCAUGCUGAUAACCUACUGAGGGAGAGGAAGGGAACUCAGGUGGCAAGACCUCAGAUCCAUUUUUCUUAUAUUCAUGAACAGUUCACAAGUGGAUAUUUCACUAGCAAAAUCUCUUUAUUGCACGUAUUACUGCAUUCUUCAGGAAGCUUCACUGGGACAGCUUCUCUGCUGCUGGCAUAUACCUCUGAAAGAAUAAAUGUUUUCAAGGCAAGUUCUCUUUAAGGUGAAAGCUUUUAGGUUUUAGUUCAGUCAGUGCUCAGUAGUUAUUUUCACUUCUGUCCUUUCUACAGAGCUAACCUCAUAAUACACCAAAUUACUACCCUGGCAGAAAUCUCCUCAUCAAACAAAAUUCACAUUAGCAAUACCAUUCUCUGUUUCUAGACAUGCCAAUUUAUCCCCCAUUAAGACAAACCAACACAGCAGUCAGCCCAGUAGAUAUUCACAGAGAUUUUUAAACUAAAACUAAUGUUACUAGUCCUGCAGAAUGAAGACAUCAGUGUUCAAGAAAGAAUCCCCCUUUUCCUAUUUCUCAAGCUGAUAAUACAACAAAGGCCUUGGUCUCAUAAAACACUCCUACAGUUAACAUAAAUUCAGAGAAGAAAACUGAAAUUCCCCAGUGAUUCUUGUACUGGACAGAGAUGCCCCAGUCUGUCUCAAUGCUUCUUAUUCCCUCACAGCAGCAAAUGCUUUAACAGCAAUGACUUGCCUCCAAACAGCUGCUUCCUAUAACACCCAUUGGCCACUUUCCCAGCAAGAAGAAAGCCCUUCUCUCCACAGCC